rnacentral:misc_RNA from 1 species
AGGUGGAAUAAGCGUGGAUACAGGUAAUCUGGUUCUAAUUUUAUCUUUUAUUUGGCUUUCACUGUCUCGAGAUGUCACAGUUCAAAAGGUUUUGAAGAUGAAUAUGGUACUAUUAAUCUAAAGUUCAUUGGCAGUGUACUGCUUUUGUCUUGACCCAGCUUUUGACAAAAUUGUAUACAUUUUGCUAGCUAUACACAAAGCAGCCGGAACACAACUCGGAAUUGCAUGCAAUGACAUCCCUGAAGUCGAACCUGGAGUCCGUUGCCCAACUGGAGAAGCAAGAAUUACGCCGUAUGCUCUUCUUGAUAUUUACAUUUAACAUUUGCAAUUAAUGCUUGAAUUUCCAUUCCACCCUUGCAGCAGAGCUUCCUACUAGCAUUAUAUCACCUGCAUUUAUUUGUUGAUAUACCAAUAAUAUUAAUAUCAAUAUUUCAAUUAUAAUCUUCAUAAUAGAGCAUAGAUUAAUAGACAACUGUAUUCACUAUUCAGUCUUCUAUAGACAACUGUGUAUUUGUCUAAUGCAUCAAUUUCUGUUGGAGAGAUGAUAUGUUAAACGUGUGCAGGGGUUUCAAAUUGCCUGCAUCUUGCGUGAUUCACACUGUUGGCCCCGUCUAUUAUUUUGAAAGGAACCCUGUAGCCUCCCUAAGAAAUGCUUACAGGUGAAUUGUAGCACUGAUUGUACUCUUUCUUAUGACUAUUUCUUUGGUAUAUCAUCCUAGAUAAGAUCCCUCGUUUACUGGUCACAGGAACAGCUUGAUGGUGGCCAAAGCCAACAAUAUUGAGUACAUUGCUUUUCCUGCCAUAUCUUGUGGUAAUAACUUGUAAGUUGCCAAUGGAACCACCUAGCUAGGCCUUUUCUGUUGGCUCCUAUAUUUCUGCUGCCUCUUGAUGAAUAUAUUGCAUUGCACAACUCCAAUUUAAGUAGAUAAAAGUUUUUCUUGUUGAAUGCUUUGGUUGAGUUAUAGCCAUACGUGCCUAGAUGGUUGAGAUUGUGAGAGUUGAUUGGAGAAAGGAAUUGUUAUGCUUAGAUAUUGCCUUGCCCAAGUUUUGGCCAUCAAUAAACACAAAAACUCCAAGUGUCAAGGAUGAGAUAACAGAUACUGAAUUCAUUAACUUUGGUGUUCUAUAACUAGUGACAAGUUUGUUACCACUCUCAAUUUUGUAUAUUUUUUAGGUAUCCUUUAAAGAAAGCUGCAACAGUGGCUAUAUCUACGGUCAAAGAAUUUGCGAAUGACUUCAAAGAGGUGUGGAUAAAAACUAGAGUUUCCUGUGAUGGACCAUUUGAUUUCAAUAGAUGCUCACAGCUCUCUGCUAGAGGGCUAGAUACACUCUAAAAUUACAUAACUUGUAGCUCUUUCAUUGUUGUUGGCAGGUGCACUUUGUUUUGUUUUUGGAUGAUGUUUACAAGGAUUGGUUGGACAAGACAAGGGAAUUGCUCCUACAUUAGCUUGGUUCAAGUAUCCACUUCUGAUUUUGUAGAAUAAAUUUUAAGUUCAAUUAUCAAAUCCGAAUACAAAUAUGCUGUUCAUUGUCAUGUUACAGUAACCUACAAUUGAACAAAAUAAACUUUUAUUUAUUUAUAUUUGGAACAAAAUCUUCUUGUCGUUUGAUUUGAUAUCCUUUUAUAUUCAGUGCAACUCUAUUGAAAAACUGUAUCAUUUUCUUAUCAGUUUAACUGUAGUUUUUGUAAUUUAAAUACUUUUCUGUUUAUACAUUUGAGGAAAUGAGCUCCAGUCCCUUCUCAAAAAUUAACAAUUAUAGAUAUGAGAGCAUUGGAAGACUUCAAUCUCCGUAAACAGAAGACAAGUAACGGAUGUUGAAUAUAAAAUUGAUAAUUGUAGCUUAUUUAAGUUUUGCAUCGUGGAAAUGGAAGAUUUAAGUAUUAGAACCAAAACUUCAAUAAACUCCAAGAAAAAGACCAACAGCUGAGUGCUUCCAUCUUACUAGUCACAGCACCAGCAUCGACUAGUCACUGCACCAGCAUCGACUAGUCACCGCACCAGAAAUUAAGUAAACAAGGUUCUUGUCGUACGAAGUAACUGUUCUUUAAAGGGAAUUAUCUUUCUUUUUCAUCAAAGAAUAUCAAUGUACAAUUAAUCCUACUAGGCUAUUACGUACAAUCCAUCUAAUUCAUCUUUCCCGAGGAAAUAAUCCCACAUGAAUAAAAAUUAAACUAGCUCUAAAAUUUAAAAUA